GUGCAUAACCAAAUAGGGGAGGAAAAGAAUCUAACAAGGAUUCCCCUAGUAACUGCGAGUGAAGCGGGAAGAGCUCAAAUUUGAAAUCUCCUUCGGGCGAGUUGUAAACUGGAGAAGCGUUAUCAGACGUCGGCCGCACUAAAGUCUCCUGGAAUGGAGUGUCAUAGAGGGUGAGAAUCCCGUGCUUGGUGCGAUUGCGGCGUUGUAGAGGCGUUUUCUAUGAGUCGAGUUGUUUGGGAAUGCAGCUCAAAAUGGGUGGUAAACUCCAUCUAAAGCUAAAUACUGGCGAGAGACCGAUAGCGAACAAGUACCGUGAGGGAAAGAUGAAAAGGACUUUGGAAAGAGAGUUAAAGAGUACGUGAAAUUGCUGAAAGGGAAGCGCUUGGAGUGAGUCGCGCGGGCGGGAGUCAGCUCUGCGUACUUCCUGCCCGUGGGCCAGCAUCGACCUUGGACGGCGGAUAAGGGCGGUGGGAAUGUGGCAUCUCCGGAUGUGUUAUAGCCUGCUGUCGUACACGCCGACCGGGGUCGAGGACUGCUUAUAGGAUGCUGGCGUAAUGGCUCUAAGCGACCCGUCUUGAAACACGGACCCA
rnacentral:rRNA from 2 species